rnacentral:rRNA from 1 species
GCUUCUGAAGAACUCAUUUGAAGUACUUAGUGGNGGACGGGUGAGUAACGCGUGGGUAACCUGCCUCACACAGGGGGAUAACAGUUGGAAGCGACUGUUAAUACCGCAUAAGCGCACAGUAUCGCAUGAUACAGUGUGAAAAACUCCGGUGGUGUGAGAUGGACCCGCGUCUGAUUAGCUAGUUGGCGAGGUAACGGCCCACCAAGGCGACGAUCAGUAGCCGGCCUGAGAGGGUAAACGGCCACAUUGGGACUGAGACGCGGCCAAACUCCUACGGGAGGCAGCAGUGGGGAAUAUUGCACAAUGGGGGAAACCCUGAUGCAGCGACGCCGCGUGAGUUAUGAAGUAUUUCGGUACGUAAAACUCUAUCAGCAGGGAGGAAAAUGACGGUACCUGACUAAGAAGCACCGGCUAAAUACGUGCCAGCAGCCGCGGUAAUACGUAUGGUGCAAGCGUUAUCCGGAUUUACUGGGUGUAAAGGGUGCGUAGGUGGCAUGGCAAGUCAGAUGUGAAAUGCCGGGGCUCAACCCCGGAACUGCAUUUGAAACUGUCAAGCUAGAGUACAGGAGAGGAAAGCGGAAUUCCUAGUGUAGCGGUGAAAUGCGUAGAUAUUAGGAGGAACACCAGUGGCGAAGGCGGCUUUCUGGACUGACACUGACACUGAGGCACGA